rnacentral:rRNA from 1 species
AUGCCAGCAGCAUCAGCAGCCCUGCUAGUUUUCAUAGUAUGCAUCUCCCUUCCAGCAAUGGCAGCAGCGGCCGGAGUCUCAUCCGACCGCUCCAUGUCUUUGCCAGGCUGCCCGGACAAGUGCGGCGACGUGCUCAUCCCGUACCCCUUCGGCAUUGGGGAAGACUGCGCCGCAGCCAGCCGGAACAGCUACUUCAACCUCAUCUGCAACAGCACGAUCGAUCCACCACGGCCAAUGGCUGGUCCUCCAGAAGCAGUAGCUGAGGUCGCUGACAUCUCACUGGAGCAUGGCGAGAUGCGUGUGCUCAGCCCUGUCAGCCACAUCUGCUUCAAGUCAAACACCACAUUCACCAAGUUCACCGGAGGGUACCGGCUGCAGGACUCGCCCUUCCUACCCUCUCCAUCGCGCAACCACUUCACAGUCAUUGGCUGUAACACCAUGGGGCUCAUCGGCGGUCAGAAGGGCACCGCGAACCAGUACGUAGCUGGCUGCUACUCCUACUGUGAUGGUGUCAACAAUACGUCGGAUGGCGCACCAUGUGCUGGGAUGGGCUGCUGUGAGUCUGCCAUCCCAGCCAACCUCACCACCUUCGAGAUCAUCUUUGCAACGAACCAGAGCCAGGUAUGGGGCUUCAACCCAUGCUUCUACGCCAUGAUAGCCGAGGUUGGGUGGUACAAUUUCAGGCAGCAGGACCUCGUCGGCAACCUUGGGUUUAUCAAAGAUCGAGCCGGGAGGGGUGCUCCAUCCAUCGCUGACUGGGCCAUUAGGAAUGGCUUGUGUCCAGAGGAGGGGAAAAACGCACCUAAUGACUAUGCCUGCAUCAGUGCAAACAGUUACUGCAUGGCCAUGAACAAUGGUCCAGGGUACCUAUGCCAGUGCUCCAAAGGAUAUGAGGGAAAUCCUUAUCUUCUGAACGGCUGUCAAGACACAGAUGAGUGUGCGUUGCGUAAGCAGGACCAUAAGUAUGAAGAUUUGUAUCCAUGCAGAAAAGGGAUCUGCCACAACACACCGGGAAGCUACCUAUGCAAAUGCAAGACAGGAAAAAGAUCUGAUGGUACAAAUUUUGGAUACCAAUCUCUGCAUUCUCCAGCUCAAAUAUUGGUUAUCGGCCUAAGUGUUUGUGUUUCUGCAACUGUGGCGAUGGCGUUAACAUGCAUGUUGCUCAUGCAAUUUCAACGAAAAAGGCACAAGAGGGAGAAAGAUGAGUACUUCAAACAAAAUGGAGGUCUCAAGUUAUAUGAUGAGAUGAGAUCAAGGCAAGUCGACACAAUCCGCAUACUUACAGAGAAAGAGAUAAAGAGAGCCACUGACAACUACAAUGAAGAUCGAGUUAUUGGAUGCGGUGGUCAUGGUAUGGUCUACAGAGGAACUUUGGAUGAUGAAAAAGAGGUUGCCAUAAAGAAGUCCAAAGCAGUCAACGAUGAUUGCAGAGAAGAAUUUGUCAAUGAGAUUAUAAUUUUGUCACAAAUCAAUCACCGAAACAUUGUGAGGCUACUCGGCUGUUGUCUAGAUGUAAAUGUCCCAAUGUUGGUCUACGAGUUUGUCUCCCAUGGUACUCUAUCUGAGUUCCUUCACGGUGCUGAUCCUAGAUCGCCAAUCCCAUUUGAUCUUCGCCUGAAGAUUGCUACACAGUCAGCAGAAGCUCUAGCUUACUUACAUUCGUCGACAUCUCGCACAAUCCUACAUGGGGAUGUCAAGUCUGCCAACAUUCUCUUGGAUGAUCAGACCAACGCAAAGGUUGCUGAUUUCGGAGCAUCAGCACUUAAGUCCAUGGAUGAAAGUGAGUUCAUCAUGUUUGUUCAUGGAACCCUUGGCUACCUUGACCCUGAGAGCUUUAUCAGCCGCCGCCUCACCGACAAAAGUGAUGUAUACAGUUUUGGGGUGGUUCUUCUGGAGCUGAUGACACGAAAGAGGGCUAUAUAUACUGACAGCUUCAAUGGAAAGGAAUCAUUGUCCUAUACUUUUCCUUUGAUGUUUCAUCAGAAGACGCACCACGUUAUGCUGGACUCUGAAAUUACAGAUGAUGCAGGGUUGGUUGUCCUUGAGAACAUGGCUGAACUUGCAGUCCGUUGCCUUAGCCAGAGAAGAAAUGACAGGCCAACGAUGAAGGAAGUUGCAGAGAGACUGGAGAUGAUGAGGAGACUUCAUUUGCACGCAACCAAUGGUCAUGGAAACAACAUCUAUGCACAUAACUAUGGAGGCUCAUCUUCGGUUGUUGUCCCUUUCGACGAGGCAACACGCGGGACCAUCGACAUGUCCGAACUAGUUGAAGAUCUUGCGAGGUGA